rnacentral:ncRNA from 1 species
GGAACUCUGGAGAUCUCGUUGAAUCGAGAGCCGAAGGUGCAAGGCGCAGGCCGAAUCUCUCAGGCAAAAGGACAGAGCGGA